GAAGAGGCAGGGCAGGCGCCGGUGACGCUGCUGGGCAAGCGGGCUCUGCAGUAGCAUUUGUGGCGACCGUGGCAGUGGCUGUGACUGGAAGCUUCUGGAAAUGGCGGCGAUGAGGACCCCCACAUAGGGUAUUCACCUGUUAUUUUUACACGGGGUGGGUGGACGAGCGUGAUCCAACUCAGGCAAAAUGACGCUGCGACCGCAGCCCGAGGACUAGGCGAAGUUCCCCCGCUAAGCCGGCGGCGGCCGUCUGGCCCCGCACCAGGCCGGAGAAGCUGCACCUACGCCCAGAGCCCGCGGCCCCCCGCCUCAGGUGGGGCCCUGGGCCCCGCCCCGAAAGCGCGGUAGCGUGCACCUGCCCUGGCACCAGGGGGUCUAGAGCGCGUCCCCUCCCAGCCACGCCUUCCAGUGGCCUUUUUAAAGAGGAAUUCAGUGCACCCUCCCACACGUAGUGUUGGGGAUUUGAGAGGGAGCUGCUCAGGUACUAGGAAGGGUGCCGGAGGAAAAUUGACCGUCGCAGCGUGGCAGCAGCGUGUACUCACUCCCUUCUGGGCGCGUUAUUUACGUAGAGGUUAAUCUGCAACAACAGCGUCUGUUUAUGACUUAGUGCAUGCAGUUACAAGUUUAUGUUACACUGUCCUUUAACGUCUUGAUGAACUGAGGGUUCAGGUGUGAUCACAGCAGAUGAAGUGACAUUCAGACCUGACAGGGACGGCGAGGUCCCAUCAAAUUACUAUGUAAAGCAUAAACCUGCAUUAAAGAUCAGGAGUUUUUCCUUU
ensembl:lncRNA NDUFV2-AS1 NDUFV2 antisense RNA 1